UCCCCGAUGGCGCAAUUGGCUGUGAGUUACACCGACACCCUUUCACGAAGGCGUACAUACUGACAAAAAGGGGCAGAGCGCGUCUGACUGUUAAUCAGGAGGUUGAUGGUUCGAGCCCAUCUCGGGGAG